UGAGGAACAUGACCUUCGGCGGGGGAUAGCCGGCCCAACGGCCGGGUAAUACCGCGUACGACCACAUGGGGACAUCCCUGAGUGGUGAAAGCAGCAAUGCGCCGAUGGAGUGCCUCGCGGCCUAUCAGCUAGUUGGUGAGGUAACGGCUCACCAAGGCGACGACGGAUAGCUGGUCUGAGAGGAUGGCCAGCCACAGUUGGGACUGAGACACGGCCCAGAUCCCGUAACGGG
rnacentral:rRNA from 1 species